rnacentral:rRNA from 1 species
UACGGAGGGUGCGAGCGUUGUCCGGAAUCAUUGGGCGUAAAGGGCGCGUAGGUGGCCCGGUCAGUCUUUGGUGAAAGCGCGGGGCUCAACCCUGCGUCGGCCAGGGAUACUGCCGCGGCUGGAGCACUGUAGAGGCAGGCGGAAUUCCGGGUGUAGCGGUGGAAUGCGUGGAGAUCCGGAAGAACACCGGUGGCGAAGGCGGCCUGCUGGGCAGUUUUGCUGACACUGAGGCGCGACAGCGUGGGGAGCAAACAGG